UCCGCCCGGUUUGAGCUCGUUUUGGUUCCAAGCUUGAUAUCUCAAGCUACCGGCCAACAAUCCUCACCAAACUUCACCCACGAGCUCGCCUCAACGUCCUGAAGCUCCCAGAAGUGGCCUUGCACGGCGGCGCUACUCGUGGUGGCGGCUGGAAGCCAGACCCGAUCAAAUCGAAAAACCGAAGCUUCGAUCGGUAUAUCUCGAGCUGUAGUGCAUCGUUUUGAUUGAUUCUUUUUCCAGUGGGUUCCCCUUGAUGUUGUUAACAACUCUCUAGAAGGCAUCGAGGCCUGAAAUUGAAGUUUUUACGUCGAUCGGAGCCCUCGCCGGAUUCUGCAAAAUUCUGCAAAUUUUCCGACCACCGAAGCUUUCGAUCGGUAUAUCUCGAGCUACAGACCAUAUUUUUCUGUGAUUCUUGAACCAAUGCGUUCGUCUUGAGUUUCUUAACAACUCUCUAGAAGGAAUCGAAGCCUGAAAUUGAAGUUUUGACGUCGAAAUCAAGCCUUGCCGGAUUCUGCAAAUUUCGCCGGAUUCUGGAAAUUUUCCGGCCACCUCGACUGUUCUAGGUUAUCGACGGAUUGAUUUGGUGGACGAUUCGGAUUGAUGUAUUUGGCUUUUUAGAAGACGCAGCUGGAUUAGAGCGGGAAAUCCUACAGGUCAGGAAGAUCAAGGCGGAGAUCGUGCGGGUUAGAGUUUUUGUUUCAGUUUACAGCUUUGUAAAUUGUGAGAUGUAUUAUUAAGAGGUGUGAAGUGUGGUUGUUGUGAGAAAAAAAUUCAGGACGUUUAUUCUAUUAAGUUGUAUAAUUCAUGUUUCGGAUUUUAAUUGUAUUUAAAAUUCGGGGCGUGACAGUUUGGUAUCAGAGCGUAAGGUACAUAUUUGGUGACGUGUCAAUACCUUCCGAGUGAUGGCCCGUCUGCAGCGGAUCCCCAUCGUGCGCUCUUCGGUAUUGGCUAAGUCAUUGGGUAUGUGUGAGUGUUGGAAGUUGUUUAGGCCGCUAAGUCGUUUUAGGAACGUUAACACCUUCCCUGUAGUAUUGACUUGGUUAAUAUGGACUUGUAUUUGACUUAUACUGUGUUUUAAGUGUUAUACGUGUAUUAGCCAAGCAUACUAUAUUUCUUAGGUGUUGAAUAUUCGAAGGAGUAGUACUUAGAACUACAGAGUUGUCUUGUAGGUUCGUAUUUGAAUAAGUUCAGUUACCGCGAGUUAUAAUCUUUAAGGGAUGGAAACCUUCGGAUUUAACUCUAUUGAGUUAGGGUGAUUGUUUUAUGGAAGUGAGGUUCUUUUGGAUGUUGAGGUGUUUGGUUGAAGGCAUGAUGUUGGCCUAUGCACGUACCUAGUGUGGAUACGAGUAUGAAUUGAUGGAAUUUUUGCCUUAUUAGGUUGGAUAUACAGAUGUUUUUGAUUUGAUUCUUGACUCAUGUGGAGUGGUGGGUAGUAUUGCGGUUUGGGAAUGAAUUAUUGUGGUUAAUUCUUCCAUGUGUUUGUAAGUUGAUGAGCAGGGUUUAAGUUGUGAGAAAGGAGUUUGAUCUCGUGUUUGAGUGAUUGAGACGAACGACUAUAUAUUUGAGGUUGUUU